UACAGAGGGUGCGAGCGUUAAUCGGAAUUACUGGGCGUAAAGCGUGCGUAGACGGUUAUUUAAGUCGGGUGUGAAAGCCCCGGGCUCAACCUGGGAAUUGCAUUCGAGACUGAAUAGCUAGGGUACGGUAGAGGGAAGUGGAAUUUCCGGUGUAGCGGUGAAAUGCGUAGAGAUCGGGAGGAACACCAGUGGCGAAGGCGGCUACCUGGACCAGCACUGACACUGAGGCACGAAAGCGUGGGGAGCAAACAGG
rnacentral:rRNA from 1 species